GUUGAAGCCCUACUCCUAUUGGUUCCUAGUCGAAAUCAGUCAGUGCAGCUUCCUCUACCUUCCUAUUGGCUCGUGUAUCCCAAGUUCAUUGGUUCGCGACGCCGCGGGGCUGGAGCUAGUUCGCUAUUUGUCGAUAGCACACGCAUUGACACGCCUACCUGCUCAUUGCCCCGCCCUCCUUUUGGAGGCGCGGAGACCCGCCCCAGAAAAUGCCUUGACUAUUGGUGGACCUUGGCUCAACUCACAUUCUAAUUGGCUACAGUAUGUCUAAUGGGCCGGCCAUGGUGACGUGCGUGCUAGGUCUCUCAUUGGCCAAUGCGCCAGGGUCAGGGGACAUCAGUAGAGGUGCGUUGCGCUGCAGACGCUGCUAGGCAGCAAGGUCAGGUCUCGCGUCCCGACAGGCACCGCGGUGGAGAGGCAGGGUCCCCGACGAGGAACAAAGGACUGGUCACACUGGCCCUGCCUGCCAGCCUGGCCACUUGAUGGUAGGUAGGAGAUGCUGGUUUUUACAGGGUUUUCAGCACCAUCCCUGCCCCUGCCCCAGUGCCAUGUGGGAGUCAGACUGAGCAAGUCACAGUCCCAGAACCCUCCAGAAAGAAUUCAGAAAAUCCUCUUUCAAGCAAGUGAGCCAGGUGUGUGGCCCACACCUGCAUUCCUAAUACUAAGGAAGGUUUCUGACUUCAGUGCCAGCCCCGGCUAUGUGAGGAGCUCUAGGCCAUCCAGGGCUGCAUGGUGGGGUCCUGUUUCAAAAACAAAUCAAGGCACAGGGAACUUGGGCUAAAUGUUUAAAAGGGGGCUGGAGAGAUGGCUCAGAGGUUCAGAGCACUGACUGACCUUCCGAAGGGCCCAGGUUCAGUUCCCAGCACUCACAUUAGGGGGUUUACAAUAGCCUAUAACUCAAACUCCCAGAUUCAAGAUCUUCUGCUCUCAGAAGGCACACAUACAGAGACAGUCAUACACACAGUUGUAUGUGGGACGCACACACACACUCACACACAAAGAGAAACAAACACAAAUACCAAUAAUAUAUUUUCCUGAGACAGGGUUUCUCUGUGUAGCCUUGGCUGUCCUGGGACUUCCUCUGUAGACCAGGCUGGCCUCAGACUCACAGAAAUCCACCUGCCUCUGCCUCCCGAGUGCUUGGAUUAAAGGUGUGCACCACCACUGCCAGGAAACAUAAAUCUUUUAAAAAGAAAAACAGCAACAAAAACCAACCAACCAACCAACAAACCAGGCAAGCAAGUUGGCUCAGCAGGUAAAAGUCUUGAAAACUUGGGGGUAGGCUUUAUCCCCAGAAUACACGCAAAAAAAAAAAAAAAAAAGAAAGAGGAAAAGGAGGUACCCUGUGACUUCACGAGUCCCCUGGCCUCCACAUCCAUGCCAAGGCCUGUGUGCACACAUGCACAAACACAUAAUAAUUCUAAUUUUACAAAACGUAAGCAACAAGCCAGGUGGGGGCGGUGCACACCUUUAGUCCCAGCACUUGGGAGGCAGAGGCAGGCGGAUCUCUGAAUUCUAGGACAGCCUGGUUUAGAGUGGAGUCCUAUCACAAAGAUUAAUAAAGGGCAGGAGAGAUGCCUUUAAGCACACUUGUUGCUCUUUCAAAGCACCCUAGUUCAAUUCCUACAAUCUACACGGCAACUCAUGAGCUCCCUGGGUACCAUGCAUGCAUGUAAUAUACAGACAUAUAUGCAUGUAGUAUACAGACAUACAUGUAAGCAAACACACCAGAAAAUACAGAGAUGAAUCCCCCCUCCCCCUGCCCCCAAGGACUCUAGGGAUGCAAGUCGGGUUCUUACAAACUGACUAAUCUCCCUGGCUACUGUACAACUUUUUAUUUAUUUAUUUUUUCAUUGCUGUUUUUUUUGAGCCUCAUGUAACAGAGGUAGCAUGACCUUGAACUUCUAAUUCUCCUAAUUCUACCUCCCACAUUUAUCGGUCCUUAAGAUCUGAAGCUCUAGGGAACAAGCCCUAGGGAGCAACAAGAUGGUGGGAACCUGGGCUCUGACAGUGUCUCAGAGAUAGACUCUAACACCCACGCUUCAUGCAGAAGAGAAAAAUCUUUCCUCAGCACCCAUUUGACAUCUCAGUUACUUAUGGCAGCAUCUUUGUCUUAAACUGCCUUAAUGAUCUCCUUUGGUUCCCACUCCAUGCUCCCAGCUCUGCUGUCCCUCCUCCCAGCCCAUCACUCACUCUUCUUCCUCAUCCGCAGCUUGAAGCCUCUGCUCCUUCCGCUGUUGUCGGCAGAUGAGGAUGCCUGUGCCAGCCACUGCGGUGGCGAUGAUGGCAGCGAUAAUACCUCCAAUGAUGCCACCAGUGGCCCCUGCUCCUGCUGUGCUGGGUGACUCUGUCAGGACAAAGACAGCAUGGGGUCACUAUGGAAAACUCACAGCCGCUUCUGCCAGCCCUGUCCUUCAGAUACUACCUAUGCCAGACUUUUCAAAAUGAUUGUUUUAUGUAUUUGUUGAGACAGGGUCUCACAUUGUAGGCCAGGCUGGCUGGGACUCUCUGUAAACCAGAAUAAACCCAUGCCUCUGCCUUCCAAGUGUAGGCAUUAUGGGCAUGUGCCAUCAUA